rnacentral:rRNA from 1 species
UUGCGAUACUUGGUGUGAAUUGCAGAAUCCCGUGAACCAUCGAGUCUUUGAACGCAAGUUGCGCCCGAAGCCUUCGGGCCGAGGGCACGCCUGCCUGGGCGUCACGC